AUGGAUACAAAGAAUCUUCAAGGGGUUCACAUAAAAUGUGCAUUUGAAAAAAAAAUGCACACAUUUCAGAACUUCUGUCGCGAGAAGAAUUUGUCUUCAGAUUGCGUUUCUCCAGGAAUCCUUGCAAGUGCCCUGACUCCUCCUCCGCCUUCCGGCCGGUGGGACCCAAAUCCCCCAGAGCCCCCAGCAUCAGUCUCUCUUGCUCCAGGACAUGGAGGGAACGCUGAGCGCGUGGACUGCGUGGCCGCCUGCAGCCCAGACACAGCAGGGGGGCGGGGGUGCAGGUGUCCUGAGGAGCAGCUGACCUUGUCCUUGCCCGAGUCGCCCCCAGCAGCUUCCCGGGCCUACUGCGCAGCUGACGGGCAGGCAGGGGCGGGGAGGAGAGGCCGGGAGGGGCUGGGUGGUGCCUGGGGCAGAGGUCCCCUCCGAGCCCCCCGCCGUGCCUGCAGCUGCUCCACUGAGAAUUCUAGACUCACGCCCACCCUGCGAGCCCAGCCAGCUGGGGCGCCCCCUCUGAGCCGGCAGCCAGAGGGCUCGCCUUUGCCUCGGAGCUGCGGGGUCUCCAGAGCAGGGCCCUCCCUGGGCCUGCCCUUCCUGGCCGCCUGUGCCGGCCGCCUGGCCCCGCUGUCGCAGGCUCCCCCCACCCCCACCCUGCCCCGCAGGCCACACCAUGAGUCACGAGGCAGAGUUUCCAUUAGCGUCAGUCGGACGUGGAUGUUGGACCUGGAGCCAGUGGGAGCGCGAGGGAAGAAGCUGCUUUCGGCAAACUCACACGCCUGGGGUCAGAGCCCUGAGAUGCCCAGGGCCCCUGCAGGGCUGGCAGAGCCCCUGUGCCAGUGCCCGCUCCCUCCUCGCUCCCUCCAUCUCAUUCCCUCUCCUCCCCACUCCCUCAUCCCCUCUCUCCCCCUCUGUCCCUCCCUCCUGUCUCUCUCCCCCUCUGUCCCUCCCUCCUACUCUGUCUCUCCCUCCUGUCUCCCUCCCCCUCUGUCCCUCCCUCCUGUCUCUCCCUCCCCCUCUGUCUCUCCCUCCUGUCUCUCUCCCCCUCUGUUUCUCCCUCCUGUCUCCCUCCCCCUCUGUCUCUCCCUCCUGUCUCUCUCCCUCCCCCUCUGUCCCUCCCUCCUGUCUAUCUCCCCCUCUGUCUCUCCCUCCUGUCUCCCUCCCCCUCUGUCCCUCCCUCUUGUCUCUCUCUCCCCCUCUGUUUCUCCCUCCUGUCUCUCUCUCUCCCUCUCUGAGUUCCCCCUGGAGGUGGAGACAGGGGAGCCCUCAUGA
rnacentral:lncRNA from 1 species